AAAAGUGUGGGCCUUAUCUCAAGGAGAAGUUCGAGAUAUCCUCAAAACACAUUCUCAUGUGUGGAAAGAUUCACAUUACGUUGAAGUUGCUACCUUAACUAGGUAUACAAGGUGAUUGGACAUGAAUUGAGAUUUACUGCUCCUCAUUUUGGAUUAACUAGCCAUAUAAAUAUUUCUCUUUCAAUAUUCUGUCAAUUAUAUGUUCUUUGAAUAACCGUUCAGAUUUUGAUUUGACCAUUUACAUUGUAUACACUAAUAAUCUAGUUAGAAGUUUAAGGCCUGGAGAUUUUGACAGACAUGUCACCGUCGAUAGGCUUGAUGUUGCUCGUAGAGUAAAGAUUCUUCAAUCUUCGGGUCAGUUAUCUCUUAUGGAAACUGUUAUAUACUCCGGCUUAAUCAGCUAUAAGUUUAUAUGCUUUAGUUUGAAAAUCUUUGAAAAUAUAUUGUUGUGCAUAUUUUGUCGAACUUCGAGUUAAUUUAUAUUGUAUUUAGGUGUCUUCAUCUAGAUUUCAAAUCUUAUAUCAAACUGGUUCUAUUUUCAUUGGGUUUGGUUGGCCAUAUUAAGGUAGAGAUGAUCUUUGCAAUAUUUGUAGUAAAUCUGUAACGAAUUAUCGCUUUUUUGAAGGAUGUUGAAUUUGAUAAGUUCCAUAUAGAAGAACACCAGGUUUCUCCAGAGCAGAUUUGCAGAACCUGAUGAAUGAAGCGCAACCAUACUUGCAGCGAGACGUGAGCUUAAGGAUGUGAAAAAUGGUAUAAACUAUUUUUUUUACAAAGUAUUAUCAUGAGUUGAGCAUAGAGAGGGGUUUUUUUAUCUUUUGAUUUCCUUAACUUUCUGAUAACCAUUGAAUUCAGCUCAAAAUGAUAUGAAUAGCAGAACUUGGGGAUACGUAUAUAUCGACCCCAGCUACAUGUUAUUGCAACAAUGCUUGGUGGCAUCAACUAUGGAUAACUUAAUAAUUCACCGAUUUAUGGUACCCGACCGACAUUGUUCAAGGAAUACAUUCAUUUUCUUGAGAGUUGGUUAGUUGUAUAUGUGUUUAUGUACUAUGUUCUUUUAUUUUGUAUACAUUUACAUGAGUGUUAGGGACUUGUGGUUAAUGCUUUGUAAUGGUGGAAUGUUCGUAUCGGUUUUUUGAAUUCAUUUUGCUAU
rnacentral:lncRNA from 1 species